GAUGAACGCUGGCGGCGUGCCUAAUACAUGCAAGUCGAGCGAACGGACGAGAAGCUUGCUUCUCUGAUGUUAGCGGCGGACGGGUGAGUAACACGUGGAUAACCUACCUAUAAGACUGGGAUAACUUCGGGAAACCGGAGCUAAUACCGGAUAAUAUUUUGAACAGCAUGGUUCAAAAGUGAAAGACGGUCUUGCUGUCACUUAUAGAUGGAUCAGCGCUGCAUUAGCUAGUUGGUAAGGUAACGGCUUACCAAGGCAACGAUGCAUAGCCGACCUGAGAGGGUGAUCGGCCACACUGGAACUGAGACACGGUCCAGACUCCUACGGGAGGCAGCAGUAGGGAAUCUUCCGCAAUGGGCGAAAGCCUGACGGAGCAACGCCGCGUGAGUGAUGAAGGUCUUCGGAUCGUAAAACUCUGUUAUUAGGGAAGAACAUAUGUGUAAGUAACUGUGCACAUCUUGACGGUACCUAAUCAGAAAGCCACGGCUAACUACGUG
rnacentral:rRNA from 1 species